GGAAAAAGACAGAAUGCAGAACUUAUGCACAUUAGUUUAGAAGAAGAAAUAAUAGUUUAGCAAAAUUUAUAAGCAUUAUUACACAGAAAUGUUUUCUGCGUGCUUUUUAGGCUUUCAGAAAAUAAAGAAAAGAAUGGAAGAUUAAAUUGAGUCUAUAUUAUUAUGUUUCCUUUUAGCUUCUGUUCAGUUCUUCUUGAUCUAAUAUCAUAAACCACUAUGGCAACAGUAGCCACGCCCACCACAACAGAGAUGACCAAUCAAAUCACGGCUUCAGUGAAAUCGCAACAGUGGACGUGUUCUGAGGAAAGAAACAGAAGAAAACUGUUUCCUUUGUACCAGGAGCGAGUCACAUCACUCACAUUUAUCACAUUUGUGCUGUAAAAUUGCACUUUCAACAUAAUUAACGUCGUAGGUUUAUUUAAGUGUUUUUUUAAUAAAAAAACUGAAAUACACUGACUGUACAGUCCCAGAUAGCACACGUACGUCUUCAAUAUGUCUGUUAAAGAUUCAUCUAGAAUGCAUCUGCUGUGUACAAACAUCUGAUAGACGUCUCAAUGAUGUCAGUUUUACAUAAAUUCUAAAUCAUAAACAUCUUAAAGGCAUCUUCUAAACGUCUGUUCAACAUCUGAUAGUAAACUUCCUAUAGACGUAUUACAGAUGAGCAAACACUCUAGAAAAUACGUCUUGCAGAUGUACAUGCAGACGUCUAAUAGAGGUCUCUUUGAUGUACGAUGUAGGUGUAUGUGAUAAAUAUUUUUUUUGUAGGCAAAAGGAUAGACAGAUUGACAUUUAGUUGUCAACAGGAAUACAGAUUGUUUUAAACCAAAACCAAAAGAAAUGUGCAUAAUCGAUAUGUUACUUUUUUUUUCUUUUUUUUUAACUUUUUUUUUUCUGUAGGCCUAAAUAAAUUUGAGAACUGAUGACAGUUUUUAUCAUCAUUCAAAUGUUAGCCUUUAAAUUUUAAUUUUGCCAUAUGAAAAUUUUCAAGGCUGACUGUGUUGUUCUGGAGAGGAGGGCAAAUAAAGCUGAAGUGCUCACCGUAAACAUUAACAAUAAAAAUCUUGUUGAAAACUUUAUUGGCACGGCCGAUGUUUACUUCAUAAAAUCCAUCAUGUGCAGUUGUGAUGUUUUUGAUGGUCAGAGAUGCGGUUUUAUAGUCCAAAUGGAGUCUGUCUCUGAAUAUCUCAUUACCAUCAGGAAAAGAGACAACUCGAUUAAUAAUUUGACCUACACAGAUGUCUAACUGCCUAAAAGUCCACAGUAUGUGAUCAUCUGUCAGUAUUUCAGUAUGUUGAGUGUGUAGAGUGACUGAAUCUCCCUCCAUCACUGAUACCGUCUCCGUUCCACCUGUCUGAGGACCGAACACACCUGGAGAACAUUCAAGAAACGAUUCCCAGGUUAGUCAGUGCUGUGCUCAACAAACGCUGCUCUUGAUACCAAUAUGCACAACUGAUUCCUAAUUUU
rnacentral:lncRNA from 1 species